rnacentral:tRNA from 1 species
GCCGGCGUAGCUCAGUUGGUAGAGCGGCUGAUUUGUAAUCAGUAGGUCGCGGGUUCGACUCCUGCCGCCGGCUCCA